rnacentral:rRNA from 1 species
UGUGCAGGCGGUUUAGUAAGUUGGAUGUGAAAGCUCCUGGCUUAACUGGGAGAGGUCGUUCAAAACUGCUAGACUAGAGAAUGGGAGAGGGAGAUGGAAUUCCGGGUGUAGUGGUGAAAUGCGUAGAUAUCCGGAGGAACACCAGUGGCGAAAGCGGUCUCCUAGACCAUUUCUGACGCUAAGACACGAAAGCUAGGGUAGCAAACG